rnacentral:rRNA from 1 species
AACGAACGCUGGCGGCAGGCUUAACACAUGCAAGUCGAGCGCCCCGCAAGGGGAGCGGCAGACGGGUGAGUAACGCGUGGGAAUCUACCCAUCUCUACGGAAUAACGCAUGGAAACGUGUGCUAAUACCGUAUACGUCCUUCGGGAGAAAGAUUUAUCGGAGAUGGAUGAGCCCGCGUUGGAUUAGCGAGUUGGUGGGGUAAAGGCCUACCAAGGCGACGAUCCAUAGCUGGUCUGAGUGGAUGAUCAGCCACACUGGGACUGAGACACGGCCCAGACUCCUACGGGAGGCAGCAGUGGGGAAUAUUGGACAAUGGGCGCAAGCCUGAUCCAGCCAUGCCGCGUGAGUGAUGAAGGCCCUAGGGUUGUAAAGCUCUUUCACCGGUGAAGAUAGUGACGGUAACCGGAGAAGAAGCCCCGGCUAACUUCGUGCCAGCCGCCGCGGUAAUAC